CAAUAACAAGUCUAGCAAUUUAUUUCAUUUAGUUAUGCAUGUACAAAAUAACACGUAUUACUAACUCUUCAAAUUGCAACUGUUGCAGGAACCAGGGUUGUAGCCACCAAUGAGGUUUCUGAUGUCGUUAUUUUUCGUUAUUAUAAAAAGUGAAAUAACUGUAUAGUUGGGCUAACAAUAUUGUACAAAAUGCAAAGGGAACUCAAAAACAAACACUUCACUCUCAAAGCUUGGGAUUGUGUUGUUUUGAAAGCGCAAAUGCGUCCUGCGGCAAAUCGUUGUGACGUCACACACAGCGUUGAGAAGCACAUCAGUUUGUUGAUAGUUAAAGUGAAGACAGAUCGCACGAGCAGUUACUAAUAAGACAGAUAUCGACACAAGAUUGAACGAUAACGAAAUACUCUGAAGUACUAAGUAAUACUCUGUGUAUUGAGAAGCUCUACAAGCACGACUGGUAAAAGAUCUUCGAAGACAUCGCUGUACAAGAAGCAGUUUCGCCAUUAACGUUACACGAUAUGCAAGAGCAACAUACAGAAGGAAACAAAAUGAAGGGUUCCUGCUUCAAGAGAGCAUGCAAGGCUAUAAAGGGCACAUUCUCUCGCCCCAAAAAGACGAAAGUGGUGCCCUUCGAACCGGAUCCAUCGGAUCUACAGCCAGAUCCAAUUGUCCAGCCACAUUUAUGUGUUUUUGAGCCAGUGCUCUUACAGGACCCUGCAGUUGAUUUAUUUCCUGCUUCCUGUAAUUUUGAGCAAACAACUCUUGAAGAUCUGGAUGAUCCUCAGCCUGGUCCAUCUGGACUUCACUCAGCAGCUCCUGAAGAACCUGCUGACCAUCAACCAGAACAACAAACGGCAAAAGACAAAAAGACGAAGGGUAGCCGUGCCGGCUUCAAGAGAGCAUGCAAGGCUAUAAAGGGAACAUUCUCUCGCCACAAAAAGACCAAAGUGGUGCCCUUCGAACCGGAUCCAUCGGAUCUACAGCCAGAUCCAAUUGUCCAGACACAUUUAUGUGUUUUUGAGCCAGUGCUCUUACAGGACCCUGCAGUUGAUUUAUUUCCUGCUUCCUGUAAUUUUGAGCAAACAAUUCUUGAAGAUCUGGAUGAUCCUCAGCCUGGUCCAUCUGGACUUCACUCAGCAGCUCCUGAAGAACCUGCUGACCAUCAACCAGAACAACAAACAGCAAAAGACAAAAAGACGAAGGGUAGCCGUGCCGGCUUCAAGAGAGCAUGCAAGGCUAUAAAGGGAAAAUUCUCUCGCCACAAAAAGACCAAAGUGGUGCCCUUCGAACCGGAUCCAUCGGAUCUACAGCCAGAUCCAAUUGUCCAGACACAUUUAUGUGUUUUUGAGCCUGUGGUCGUACAGGACCCUGCAGUUGAUUUAUUUCCUGCUUCCUGUCAUUUUGAGCAAACAACUCAUGAAGAUCUGGAUGAUCCUCAGCCUGGUCCAUCUGGAAUUCAGUCCGCAGUUCCUGAAGAACCUGUUGACCAUCAACCAGAACAACAAACAAAAGAACCUACUGAUCCGGAUCCAUCUGAUCUUCAGGCAGGUCCACCUGUACUCGAGCCAACAGUUUUAGAAGAACCAGCUGAAAUUCAGCCUGAACGAUCAGUUUCAUUGCUUUAUGAAGAGGGCCGAAUUUUAGGAAUAGGCUACUCUGGCGUUGUGUAUGAGGGGAUUCGCAAAUCCGAUGGACAGAAGGUUGCCAUCAAAAAAUUGAUUGGGACCAACGAUUUUCGCCUUAAUGUCCCUGGGUAUUCUAAGCCUCUGUUCAAGGAAGCGGCUAUACAUCUACAGCUCCACAAACGAGAGAAAUGCCCCAACAUCGUGCAGAUGUUAGACUGGUUUGAAGAAGAAGAGAGGUGCACCAUAGUUUUGGAGUACCCACAUCCCUGCUUGACCUUGUGGCACUUUUUGCAGCGUUAUUACGUGAGUGAAACGCUGGCUCGUCAUUUCAUAAGGCAAGUCGUGAUCGCAGCUCAACACUGGCUUGACCACGGUGUCAACCAUGGUGACCUGUCAUUGAAAAACGUCCUGAUCAAUACGGAAACGAAGCAGUUGAAAGUUAUAGACUUUGGAUGCAGCCUACUCAUCUCAACUAUCAACGACCUAACCUCAGGAUACUGUGACCAAGCUUAUGCGGCUGCAGAUACCGUCAAGGGUAUGGGUAAUUUGCUGAAGAAAAUAGAUUCUUGGAACGAGAUAUAUAAGUUGGUAUCUCGAGAGCAAGAAUACGUCCCAUUUUCAGAAGAAUGCAAAGACUUGAUAGAGCGGAGCACGUGCAGUAACCUGGCGGACAGGCUUUCAUUAGAUGAGUUCUCAGAUCACGAGUGGUUCAAGCAGGGAUAAAGGUCAGGUUUGGCUUUAUUGAGAGCUCUGCUACGUUCAGUUAAGAACCGCCCCUUUCACUUUACUUUUAAGCUUUUCCUCUUUGAAGGGAUGUUUUUUUAGGCUAAACAUUUCAAUUUUUGAAGUAAUUGUUGGUGUUCUACUAACUCUCCUUUAAUAAUGCCCGAGAAGGUAGCUGCCUGCUGAGUGCAGAAUGAGAACCACACAUCCCAACGCUUGGUGCGGACUGGCAGGCGUUCGACAGGGCGCCCAGAGUUGAUAAAGGCUCAACUCUGUACAGAACGCUUGCGGUUUCAGCCAAGCUCCUGCCGUUUUCAGCCGCAUAAAAGCGCCUCGGUGGAUUCAGGGCCUAAGGUGUACAGUGCACAGGAUGGACAUUAGUCGAGCCGAGCCCUGACGAAAGUGAAAGAUGGGGUUAGGGGUGUGUCUGUUUUGGUGAUUUCAACAUCAUCAAUGGCUAUGAGAAAUGGACGCCCCGCCUUUCAAAGACAGUCUAAAACAAUUAUUAAAUUGCUCAGAUGUUUUUGCCAUUAAACUGCCCUACUUGCAUAUUUUUGCACCAACGCUGCUUCUAGUUCCUCAUUGAACGUUUACAUGAACAGUAAUAUGAUUACAUGGUCAUGAUGAUUCCUUUAAGCUAUCCAAACUGGUAGAGUGCAUCGAGGACAUAAAACAUUGGAUGACUAGUAAUUUCCUCCUUUUAAACUCUAGCAAAACAGAAAUAUUACUUAUAGCACCAAAAUCAAGUAAACAGAAUAUCUCCGAUUACAGCCUGCAAAUUGAAAGCUGCACUAUUACUCCAACAAAUACAGUUAAAGACCUAGGCGUUAUAUUAGACGGCAACCUGUCAUUUAAAAAUCACAUCUCAAAUAUCACAAAAACAGCCUUCUUCCACCUUAGAAAUGUUCCCAAAUUACGAAAUAGUUUAUGUGUUGCAGACGCAGAAAAGCUUAUUCAUGCAUUUGUGACCUCACGGCUUGACUAUUGUAAUGCUCUACUUAGUGGUUGUCCUGUAUCAUCGAUAAACAAACUACAGUUAGUUCAGAAUGCAGCUGCCAGAGUUCUUACUAGGUCAAGAAAAUACGAUCACAUAACCCCAGUUUUAUCAUCGCUUCACUGGCUACCCAUUAAGUAUCGUAUUGAUUUUAAAAUUCUUUUAAUUACUUACAAAGCCCUGAACGGUUUAGCACCUACUUACUUAACCGAGCUUUUAUCACGUUACAACCCAUCAUGCUCUCUAAGAUCUCAAAACUUAGGACUUUUGACAACACCUAGAAUAACAAAAUCCACAAAAGGGGGACGAGCUUUCUCAUACGUAGCACCUAAACUCUGGAAUAGCCUUCCUGAUACUAUUCGAGGGUCAGACACACUCUCCCAAUUUAAAUCUAGAUUAAAGACACAUCUUUUCAGCCAAGCUUUAACUUAAAGCAUAGUUAAUGAACAGCAGCUACGCUAAUUAUUCUCUUUAUUCUCUUUCCGCCUCUGCCUCGGAAUGCCCAUCCCGAGGUAGGAAGAAGUUCUACCAUGUCCAGGCGACCGAUUGAUGCCCAUCCCCAAUUUGAGAUUAUGCCAGAUACAGCUGCAGACUGACUGACCAUCCCAGCUCCAUCUAAGGCAAUUCCACCACCAGCCAAGAGAAAUAUGACCAUCGGACCAUCCCAGCUCAGACCACUACAUCCCCAACCAAGAGCAAAGACGGACUAUUUGUCUUAUUAAUGCUGAAGUUACAAUAUUUGGUAUUAAAUGCUAAACCUAAACCACAUGUCAGCAGUCUGAGUGCAGCUAUGACACGUCAGAGGGGAUGUGGCCCUUCCGGUUGAGCCUGGUUUCUCCCGAGGUUUUUUUCUCCAUUAAUCAAUCAUUGGAGUUUGGGUUCCUCGCCACAGCAGGGCAGUGUUGGCCUGCUCACCGGGAGACUGCAUUCAUUCAUUUAUUUAUUUAUUUAAUUAGAAUUUAGAUAUCAUUUAUUAGAAUGAUCUUACUCGUUGUAUAAAUACCAUGCACUGUGCUGUGUUUUAACUUCUCUGUUUUCCUGUUUGCCCUGUAAAGCUGCUUUAAAACAAUACACACUGUGAAAAGCGCUAUAUAAAUAAUCUUGAAUUGAAUUGAAUUACAUGGACAAUGUUUAAAGCGGCCAUUGCAUGCGAUCAAAUUUUUCAAACUUUAGUGAGUGAGUAAUAUUGUUAUUAUAGCAUAAAUAAUACCUUCAAAAGGAUAAAGCUCAAAGUUAAAUGCCAAGCGAGAUAUUGUCUUCAACAGAAUUAGCUUUUCAAGGACUACAGAGAACAGCUGGAAUCGGACUACAGCCCUCUACUUCCCGGGUACAUGAUGUCACCAUUCCGUGUGGUUUUAAUAACCUCCGCCCAAAGGAAUACACCAAAAAGGGGGGAAGCCUUCCUUAAAGAAGGGUACUCCGCUGGAGUAGUGUUUGGUUAUCAGAGAUAGUAAACAUUUGACUGAGCUACAGUGCCUUGCAAAAGUAUUCGGCCG